rnacentral:lncRNA from 1 species
AUGAAACUCCUUGUUCCAGUCAUUCCCUCGGGCUGGAAACAAUUUCUUUGUUGCCCUGUUCAUAAUUUUAUCAGGUGAAGCAAUAUCCCUCUUUUACCUGAAUCUAGUUUGAGAUUGGAUUUUAUUCUUUUCAGUUCUGAAAGUUCUGAUUAAUAAGUACUAUUCAGCCUUCGACUAUAAUAAAAUUUUAGAUUUUGUUUUUUUUCUUUCCGAAUAUAUGAGUGAAAAAGCCUUAAUUUAAGAAUGAACAAAGAAUACCCUUUACUUUGUGAAUCUAGACUAUGACAGCCUCCUCUGUGCACACUGCUGAUGAGAGCGAUUAUGGAUGAAAUGAAAUUGGGGGGAAAUGAACAUCCAGUCCCUUCAUGUCAUCUUAAAGGGUGUUGAAAGUGUUAACAUUUAAGAUGUACAAUGCCUCACUCCUGCCCUCUGUGUUCCUGAGGGAGCUGGUGACACUGCUACAGCUGUGUGUGCAGAAACUGUAAGAAGGACACUCAUGCCUUUGCCUAAUUACCGUGCAGCUUUGCUGGACUUCUGUCCAAUCCCUGACAAUGCCAACAGUGAUGAGGGACCACUGCAGCCUAACAAGCUUGGAAAAGUUGGAUAUUCGAAAUGUUAAAGCUGAUCUACUUGUGUGGGAAAGAAGAGGUCUUAAGUCACCCAAGCUAUUCAAUUAAAAAUGUCUUUUGGAAUUAGUAAGGAAAUGAUCUUAUCAGUUGAUAGCUCUUUAUGUAAAGCAUAUUUUUCCUUUUUUUUUGAACUGCAGGCUGUGUUGACUAGCC